rnacentral:rRNA from 1 species
CAGUAGCCGCGGGAAUACGGAGGGUGCAAGCGUUAAUCGGAAUUACUGGGCGUAAAGCGCACGCAGGCGGUUUGUUAAGUCAGAUGUGAAAUCCCCGAGCUUAACUUGGGAACUGCAUUUGAAACUGGCAAGCUAGAGUCUUGUAGAGGGGGGUAGAAUUCCAGGUGUAGCGGUGAAAUGCGUAGAGAUCUGGAGGAAUACCGGUGGCGAAGGCGGCCCCCUGGACAAAGACUGACGCUCAGGUGCGAAAGCGUGGGGAGCAAACAGGAUUAGAUACCCGGGUAGUCCCUGUCUCUUAUAA